rnacentral:rRNA from 1 species
UAGGUGAACCUGCGGAAGGAUCAUUAUUGAAUCAAAAUCCAUUCACUCACUCAGAGAGGAUGGUACCUGUAUGAUGUGCUAUCCCACGCUGUUGGGAGAGCCAUUGCAAUGUAAUGACAUGUAUUCUAAAUUUGUAUCGCGUACUCACUUUACUAAGUUAGUCGCGUGUCGCCAGCCAUCGGCUGGUUUGACAACAAUUUUACCAA